rnacentral:ncRNA from 1 species
GAGACUGCCGGUGACAAACCGGAGGAAGGUGGGGACGACGUCAAGUCAUCAUGGCCCUUACGAGUAGGGCUACACACGUGCUACAAUGGCCGGUACAGAGGGCUGCAAUAUCGCGAGAUGGAGCUAACCCCACAAAACCGGUCGUAGUCCGGAUUGGAGUCUGCAACUCGACUCCAUGAAGUCGGAAUCGCUAGUAAUCGUGAAUCAGAAUGUCACGGUGAAUACGUUCCCGGGCCUUGUACACACCGCCCGUCA